GCUACGGACUUAAAAUCCGUCGACUUUAAAAAUCGUGAGGGUUCAAGUC
rnacentral:tRNA from 1 species